rnacentral:rRNA from 1 species
AGUGGAUGGGGAGCAACCUAGUUGUGCGUGUGUAAAGGUAGUGCCAAGAAAAGCGGUGAUCAUGAUGAAAAUCAAUUCCCGGUACCCGAAACCGACACAGGUGGGCAAGUAGAGAAUACUAAGGGGCGCGAGGUAACUCUCUCCAAGGAACUCGGCAAAAUGACCCCGUAACUUAGGGAGAAGGGGUGCCACCGAGAGGUGGUCGCAGUGAAGAGGCCCAGGCGACUGUUUAGCAAAAACAUAGGUCUCUGCAAACUCGAAAGAGGAGGUAUAGGGGCUGACGCCUGCCCAGUGCCGGAAGGUUAAAGAAGUUGGUCAGUCUUAGGAUGAAGCUAGCGACUGAAGCCCCGGUGAACGGCGGCCGUAACUAUAACGGUCCUAAGGUAGCGAAAUUCCUUGUCGGGUAAGUUCCGACCCGCACGAAAGGCGUAACGAUCUGGGCGCUGUCUCGGAGAGAGGCUCGGCGAAAUAGGAUUGUCUGUGAAGAUACGGACUACCUGCAUUUGGACAGAAAGACCCUAUGAAGCUUUACUAUAGCUUGGAAUUGUGUUCGGGCUUCCUGUGCGCAGGAUAGGUGGGAGGCGUAGAAGGUAUUCUUGUGGGGAUACUGGAGCCAACGGUGAGAUACCACUCUCAGGAGGCUAGAAUUCUAACUUAAUUAAGGACAGUUUCAGGUGGGUAGUUUGACUGGGGCGGUCGCCUCCAAAAAGGUAACGGAGGCGUACAAAGGUUCCCUCAGACUGGUUGGAAAUCAGUCGAAGAGUGCAGCCAGAAGGGAGCUUGACUGCGAGAAGUACAGUUCGAGCAGGGUGGAAACACGGUCUUAGUGAUCCGACGGUGCUGUGUGGAAGGGCCGUCGCUCAACGGAUAAAAGUUACUCUAAGGAUAACAGGCUGAUCUCCCCCAAGAGUUCACAUCGACGGGGAGGUUUGGCACCUCGAUGUCGGCUCAUCGCAACCUGGGGCGGAAGUACGUCCCAAGGGUUGGGCUGUUCGCCCAUUAAAGCGGUACGUGAGCUGGGUUCAGAACGUCGUGAGACAGUUCGGUCCAUAUCCGAUGUAGGCGUGAGAAUAUUGAGAGGAGCCUUCCUUAGUACGAGAGGACCGGGAAGGACGCACCGCUGGUGUACCUGUUAUGAUGCCAAUUGUAAACGCAGGGUAGCCAAGUGCGGAGAGGAUAACCGCUGAAAGCAUCUAAGUGGGAAGCCCACCUCAAGAUGAGUAUUCUGGUGUAAGGUCACGGGAAGACGACCCGUAAAUAGGCACGAGGUGGAAGUGCAGAGAUGUAUGAAGCCGAAGUGUACUAGUAGACCGUCGGCUUGAC